UCUCUGGUUGUUCAGUGGUUAGGACUCUGUGCUUUCACUGCGGUAGCCCGGGUUCAGUCCCUGGUCAGGGAA
rnacentral:tRNA from 1 species